rnacentral:rRNA from 1 species
GACGAACGCUGGCGGCGUGCCUGACACAUGCAAGUCGGACGGUUCUUGCGCCUUCAAGCUUGCUUGUUGGUUCGAGGAUAGUGGCGGACGGGUGAGUAACGCGUGAACACCUACCCAUUGGAGGGGUACAACCCGUCGAAAGGCGGGCUAAUACCGCGUAAGCCGUGAGGUGAAAGGCUGCCUUUUGGUGGCUGCCGAUGGAUGGGUUCGCGUCCUAUCAGCUUGUUGGUGGGGUAAGGGCCUACCAAGGCUAAGACGGGUAGCCGGUCUGAGAGGAUGGCCGGCCACACUGGAACUGAGACACGGUCCAGACUCCUACGGGAGGCAGCAGUGGGGAAUAUUGGGCAAUGGGGGGAACCCUGACCCAGCGACGCCGCGUGAGGGACGAAGGUUUUCGGAUCGUAAACCUCUGUUGUACGGGAAGAAGGAUGUGACGGUACCGUACGAGUAAGCCCCGGCAAACUACGUG